rnacentral:lncRNA from 1 species
AUGCAAUGCUUCAAUGAUCAGCGGCCUUUAUCUAACACCAGGAGCAGCGAGCACAUAAAAGAGGUCAUGGUUGAGCUGGGGAAGUUUGAAAGGAAGGAGUUUAAAAGUUCCAGUUUGCAAGAUGGACAUACAAAAAUGGAGGAAGCACCUACGCAUCUUAAUUCAUUUCUUAAGAAAGAAGGAUUGACCUUCAACAGGAAAAGAAAAUGGGAAUUGGACAGCUACCCCAUUAUGCUCUGGUGGUCCCCGCUGACGGGGGAGACUGGGAGGUUAGGCCAAUGUGGAGCAGAUGCUUGUUUCUUCACCAUCAACCGGACCUACCUCCAUCAUCACAUGACCAAAGCAUUCCUCUUCUAUGGUAAGCAGGACUUUCGCCUUUCUCCCUUGUUUGCUGUGGUCUUCCUCCAAAGCUGAGUUACAGUUUACCUCUGAAAAGUGAUGGUGGAGCUCCCCUUGAAAACACUUUGACACCCCUGAUUUCCUUUGCAUUUGCUCUGUGG